rnacentral:lncRNA from 1 species
GUUAGUCUAGUGCUUGUUCUGAGCAUGAAAUGGAGGAACUGCGGAGACUGGAGUUCCUCGGGCCCCAAGUGUGAGGCGGGCGGGGAGCAGGAGUUGUGAGUGGAGGUUUCAGAGAAACCGCAGGCAGAGCAAUCAGAAGGCUGUGAGUGAGAAAGGGCAGAAGGCGCUCUUUUAUCUCAGGUCUGGGCUGUGGGCCAGGAAGGCAGAGACACCACCAGGGAAAUCCAGGGUAGAAUGUGGCCAGGUUGCAGAAAACUCCAGAUGCCGGUGUAAGGAGUUGGCGCUUUACCCUAUGGAGUCAGAGCCUGGAUGUUUUUUUGAGCAGAGGAGGAACACAAGGAAAGCAGCCAGUCAGCGCCUCGCCAGUCCCUGCAGCAUUGGAGCCGGCGCAGGUUUCAUGUCCUCUGUGAUUGCAGCCCUCGGCUCCAGCAUUGGAAGCACAGCAGAAAAUCAGAUUUUUGGUCUGGAUCCAAAACAGAAAUAUGACACCCCAUAUACGGUCAGUGUGUAUGUGUUUCUCUAAAAGAAUCACUUAACCUAAUUUUCUGAGCAUCAACUCCAAAUGCCAUGUAGACCAAGUGGAAAAAAAAAAAAAUUCACCCAAGUACAAAGGGGAGCUCUUGCUCUUCACCUUAAACAGCCCAUGAAGCUUUUUAGCAAUUGACGGGUUCCUCUCCCUCUCGCUGCUCUGUUCUCUAAGCCCGCAGGAAGGAAGAUCUCCUGGAAAAAUGUCCUUGUGGUGUUAGGGCGAGGACGGUGGGGUCAUGGGGAUGUGAGCCUCGGCUGACAACUCAGGAGAAAGGGACACUUGUCGGUGGCCUCUGAGGACCGCUCCCAGGCACUGCUGAAGAUCACAGGGUCUGGGACAGGGUAGGGGUCCAGGCAGCUGCAAACGCCUGCACAUCAUCUGGUGCUGAGGCUCCCGGGAUGCUUCUGCUCCUGCUGUUCUCCCCAUCCUCACACCACUCCACUCAAUUAUCCCAGCAGGGGGCUGGGGGGGCCACCUUGACUCAAAUUUCACCGAGACUAUUCAUGGUGGCGAGGAGAGAGGAAAUUAGGGGGCUGGUGGGAAGGAGGGAGAGAUGCUGGGUUCCCAGACACCUCUCUAAUAUUCACUUUAGUGACUUAUAAAUAAGAACAAUGCAUGUUAAGGGGCAUCUUGUCUCCUCCUCACCCCACCAUGGGACCCAGCCCCCUCUGGGCUGGGACAGGGAAAGGGGAGUGAGGGGGGGCAUGGCCCAGAGGUGUGGGUGCAUCGGAGGGCACCCCCUGUGUAGGGGGUGGUCUGUGGCUGCCCAGUUGGUUGUGGCCCUUGAGCACCUUCCUCUCCAGGGUGGAGGUUGACCAGCUGUCUCUGCGGACUUGGUCUUGGGCCAAGUGAACCCCAUACACGCUGACUCCUAUGAGAGAGGGGAUGAGGUGGGAAGUAAUCUGCGG